rnacentral:miRNA from 1 species
AGUGGAUGUAUGCCAUGAUGAUA